rnacentral:rRNA from 1 species
CGCGUAGGCGGUUCGUACAGUUGGAUGUGAAAUUCCUGGGCUCAACCUGGGGCUGCAUUCAAUACGUGCGGGCUUGAGUUCGGAAGAGGGUCGUGGAAUUCCCAGUGUAGAGGUGAAAUUCGUAGAUAUUGGGAAGAACACCGGUGGCGAAGGCGGCGACCUGGUCCGAUACUGACGCUGAGGCGCGAAAGCGUGGGGAGCAAACAGGAUUAGAUACCCUGGUAGUCCACGCUGUAAACGAUGUGUGCUGGAUGUUGGGUGACCUAGUCACUCAGUGUCGUAGCUAACGCGAUAAGCACACCGCCUGGGGAGUACGGCCGCAAGGUUGAA